GCUGCCCCCUUUCUUCGUGCCUAAUACAUGCAAGUCGAGCGAACAGACGAGGAGCUUGCUCCUCUGACGUUAGCGGCGGACGGGUGAGUAACACGUGGAUAACCUACCUAUAAGACUGGGAUAACUUCGGGAAACCGGAGCUAAUACCGGAUAAUAUAUUGAACCGCAUGGUUCAAUAGUGAAAGACGGUUUUGCUGUCACUUAUAGAUGGAUCCGCGCCGCAUUAGCUAGUUGGUAAGGUAACGGCUUACCAAGGCAACGAUGCGUAGCCGACCUGAGAGGGUGAUCGGCCACACUGGAACUGAGACACGGUCCAGACUCCUACGGGAGGCAGCAGUAGGGAAUCUUCCGCAAUGGGCGAAAGCCUGACGGAGCAACGCCGCGUGAGUGAUGAAGGUCUUCGGAUCGUAAAACUCUGUUAUUAGGGAAGAACAAAUGUGUAAGUAACUAUGCACGUCUUGACGGUACCUAAUCAGAAAGCCACGGCUAACUACGUG
rnacentral:rRNA from 1 species